GACGAACGCUGGCGGCGUGCUUAACACAUGCAAGUCGAACGGAAAGGCCCUGCUUUUGUGGGUUUCUCGAUUGGCGAACGGGUGAGUAACACAUGAGUAACCUGCCCUUGACUUUGGGAUAACUUCAGGAAACUGGGGCUAAUACCCGAUAGGAUCUCCUGCUGCAUGGUGGGGGUUGGAAAGUUUUGGCUGUUGGGGAUCGACUCGCGGCUUAUCAGCUUGUUUGUGAGGUAGUGGCUUACCAAGGCUUUGACGGCUAGCCGGCCUGAGAGGGUGACCGGCGACAUUGGGACUGCGAUACGGAGCAGAAUCCUACGGGAGGCAGAAGUGGGGAAUAUUGCACAAUGGGCGGAAGCCUGAUGCAACAACGCCGCGAGCGGGAUGCCGGCCUACGGGUUGUAAACAGCUUUCGAAUGUGACGAAGCGUGAGUGACGGUAAUGGGUCAAGAAGCACCGGCUAACUACGUG
rnacentral:rRNA from 1 species